AAGAGUAUUUAUUAUUAAAGAGACGGUGUGCCUCAAAACCGAGAAUCCUGAUUUAGCCCAGUGUGAUUUCAAGCCCGACGGAGAUGUAAAGAUCUGUUCUCUGGAUUUGGGUGAUGAGGAUCCCGAGGAUAUAAUGUGCACCAGUCUGAACAAGGAGGUCCGUGUGAAGCGGUCCAGCAGAAGGAGCCAAUGCAGGGGGAGGUCCUGCAGGCCGUGGCUAAGAGGAGGUCAUACUGUUAUUGGCUUUGGCUUACCCGGUAAAAAACAAAACAGACCUAACUACAUGUGGGUGUAAAGAUCUGCAGUCAACAGUGGAACGAGAUCUGAGAUUGUGGCUUAUGACAAGCACAUUACGGUUAUAAAGCUUUACUAGUUAUUAUUAUGAGGUGCGAGGUGGCACAUUGCGAAUCCCUCCUUACUUCUCCUGACCUCUCCCAUCUUCACUCUGGUCUGUGGAGGAGAGAUGUCAGGAGUUUCAGCUUGCUAUGAGAUCAGCCAUGUUCUGUCUGUGGAACGUUCUGAAUGGAUACAAUGUUACAAAUAAACGAAGCAACAAAUAA